ACUGUGACUGCCAUCUUUUUCUUACUGUGUUUUACAUUGCUGCAAUUUCAACUAGAAUGUGCUCUAAUACUUGACGAGAUGAAUCUCCUCAACCCAGACCUUAUCUUUGUUAAAAGAAAGAAAAGAAAAGAAAAUGGAAGCAUUGUUUUAUUUGGCUAUAAGUUCCCCCAAGCCUAAAUAAUGCCCAGAGUCAUGCCCUAAAUGGCAAAGCAAUACUUUAAAUUCUGAUGCACUAGUAGGGGUGGGGGUUUCAAGAGCAAGCUUUCCUUGGUUCACCUAAUAAAUAGGCUCUCGAUGUUAGUUGCUGUGUA